GGCUCAAUGGCUCAGUGCUUAUACGUUAGGCUUGAAACUAAGAGGUCCCGGGUUCGAAUCCUGGCUAAGGCA
rnacentral:tRNA from 1 species